rnacentral:rRNA from 1 species
UACAGAGGGUGCAAGCGUUAAUCGGAAUUACUGGGCGUAAAGCGUGCGUAGACGGUUGCGUAAGUCAGAUGUGAAAGCCCCGGGCUCAACCUGGGAAUUGCAUUUGAGACUGCGUAGCUAGGGUGCGGAAGAGGGAAGCGGAAUUUCCGGUGUAGCGGUGAAAUGCGUAGAUAUCGUAAGGAAGACCAGUGGCGAAGGCGGGGUCUCUGGGCCACUACUGACGCUGAGAAGGCGAAAAGCGUGG